rnacentral:lncRNA from 1 species
GCCGAUGCUUUAUGACAUGUUGCCGUGACAGAGAGCUUACAUGGACUGUAUUACGCCACGGCUGGCCCCGGGCUACGGGAAGAAAUUGUGAAUGUUGGGAGUUUAAGUUAAAUGAUAUGCUUUUAAUGAGAUCCUGCGUGUUGCAGAUCAAAAGGAUCACCAAAAGGUUCAUUAGUCUUUCUGGGCUAAAGAACUGGAAAAAUGGAAGAUAUAUGAAAAGUAAGAGAAAGAGGAAGACUACGUUUGAGCAAGGUUUCCAAGGACAGAGCUGAGAAGAGUCAGUAAUGGGAAAUGUGAGAGUCAACACAAAACUGUCAGAUUCAUUCUUUUUCUGAAGCUGCCUGGUGCUUUAGAGCGACAGAUUAAAAAUUAAAUAAAAUGCUUUUGCUGUGAAAUUUCUAAGUUCUUGGCUUCUACUGGCUUUGUCCUUCGGUGAGUAGCUAACGCUUCUCACUCCAUGCACUGGUGAUCUCAGAUGCCUUAGGAAAAAACCUACAGAUUUAUAGCUAACUGAAAA